rnacentral:rRNA from 1 species
AUUGAACGCUGGCGGCAGGCUUAACACAUGCAAGUCGAACGAGUGGCGGACGGGUGCGUAAUGUUUGGGAAUCUGCCUUAUGGCGGGGGAUAACGACUGGAAACUGUCGCUAAUACCGCGUACCAUAGGAUGAGCCCCAGUGGGAUUAGGUAGUUGGUGGGGUAAUGGCUGACCUAGCCGACGAUCCCUAGCUGGUCUGAGAGGAUGACCAGCCACACGGGGACUGCGACACGGCCCGGACUCCUACGGAAGGCAGGAGUGGGGAAUAUUGCGCAAUGGGGGAAACCCUGACGCAGCAAUGCCGCGUGGAUGAAGAAGUCCGUCGGGUGGUAACGUUCGUUCAGAGAGGAGGCGUUACUCGCAGAAGAAGCACCGGCUAACUCCGUGCCAGCAGCCGCGGUAAUAC